AUUGAACGCUGGCGGCAUGCCUUACACAUGCAAGUCGAACGGUAACGGGCCUUCGGGUGCCGACGAGUGGCGAACGGGUGAGUAAUACAUCGGAACGUACCCGAUCGUGGGGGAUAACGAGGCGAAAGCUUUGCUAAUACCGCAUACGAUCUACGGAUGAAAGCAGGGGACCGCAAGGCCUUGCGCGGACGGAGCGGCCGAUGGCAGAUUAGGUAGUUGGUGGGAUAAAAGCUUACCAAGCCGACGAUCUGUAGCUGGUCUGAGAGGAUGAUCAGCCACACUGGGACUGAGACACGGCCCAGACUCCUACGGGAGGCAGCAGUGGGGAAUUUUGGGCAAUGGGCGCAAGCCUGAUCCAGCCAUGCCGCGUGCAGGAUGAAGGCCUUCGGGUUGUAAACUGCUUUUGUACGGAACGAAAAGCCUUCUUUUAAUACAGGAGGGUCAUGACGGUACCGUAAGAAUAAGCACCGGCUAACUACGUG
rnacentral:rRNA from 1 species